rnacentral:rRNA from 1 species
UACGUAGGGUGCGAGCGUUGUCCGGAAUUAUUGGGCGUAAAGGGCUCGUAGGCGGUCUGUCGCGUCGGGAGUGAAAACUCAGGGCUUAACCCUGAGCCUGCUUCCGAUACGGGCAGACUAGAGGUAUGCAGAGGAGAACGGAAUUCCUGGUGUAGCGGUGAAAUGCGCAGAUAUCAGGAGGAACACCGGUGGCGAAGGCGGUUCUCUGGGCAUUACCUGACGCUGAGGAGCGAAAGUGUGGGGAGCGAACAGG